CCGUCAUCAUGUCCAGCGCCUUCAGGAAGUCCUCCACCGCCGCGUCAAACUCCUGGAGCCGGCGGGGCACGCCAGCCUCCAUGCUACGGCCUUUCUGUACACGGACAGGUGUUUCACCUCCACUGCUCAUAUGGGAAGCCCGGGGCUCAAGGAAGUUAAAUGGUCCUGAAUCAUGUGGUCGGCUGGCACCAUGCCACCCAUCCUCAGUGCCCGCUUUGCUGUUCCACCUGUCCUGCCUCCUUGAAGAGGAGGGGAACAUUGUGGGGAAAUCUCAUCCCUACCGGCCCCUCCAGAUGUGACCUCAGGUGAGCGAGGGUCACCCUGGGCGGUUUCUGCCAUGGAAUGGGAUUGGAGGACUGCCUCCUUGGAGGACUUCUGCGAAACUCACUUGAGGUGGGAGGAGGGUGUGGCCUCCUUAUUGUGACUGUUGUGCAUUCCUAUCCUUUCCUCCCUGACUCCCUUGACCUUUAAGCCCAACAUAACUCUGGCCAAGAACAGAUUCAGGCCUGGACAUGAGCAGAAAACAUUCCCAGCAAAUACCUUCUACCAGAUGAGCAUGUCUGUCAGUCAGUCAACAAAGUUUUGGCAAGCACCCCCUGUCCUAUAGGUAAUUGGUGGAAGGGUGAGCAGAGCAAACAGUGGACACCAGGAAGUCGAGAGGGGAAAGAUGGGAAAGGCUAGGGGCAGGACUUCAAAGUAGGCCGACUUGGGUUCAAGGGCAUAGCUACUGAGAACUGGCUGUGUGACCUUGAGCAAGUCACCCAGCCUCUCUGGACCUGUAUCUUCACCUGUAAAAAGAGGACAAGGGGUUGUAUCUACUGAAACAGUUAUUGUGAGCCUUUAAGAUAAACAUGAGUAGGUCCUGGCGGGGUAGAUCAGUUGGUUAGAGCGUAGUCCUGAUCCGCCAAACUUGUGGGUUUGAUCCCCAUUUAGGGCACACACAAGAAACAACCAAUGAAUGCAUAAAUAAAUGGAAC